GCCUGGUCUGAAUGGCAGUGGAUGUCAGAACUAAUUAACCUUAGUAUCAUUGUAGUUGGCAUUCAACCCCACACUGCUAAAUUUGACUGCCCUUUU
rnacentral:Y_RNA from 1 species